GACAAAAUACAAGAACUGAAAAUACAAUGAACACAUGACGAUGCAGAAGAUUCCAACUGCAGCUACAAUCAACAGAGAUCCAGCAGCAGCAGCAGCAGAGACCAACACUAUCAGAGACACAGAGUCAUCUGGAAGAUAUGAAGGAGACAGUCAUUAGUCUGUAGGAAUCAUCCAGACACUCCAGAUGUAAAGAAAGACUUCUGUUGAGAUCAGACACACUGAUGCUGGAGAAUAAACUGUUUCCUUUGUACCAGGAGAGAGUCACAUGA